rnacentral:rRNA from 1 species
AUACAGAGGCCCCAAGCGUUGUUCGGAUUUACUGGGCGUAAAGGGUGCGUAGGCGGCGAGGAAAGUUUGAGGUGAAAUCUCCAGGCUCAACUUGGAAAAUGCCUUGAAGACUUCCUUGCUCGAGGGUCGUAGAGGAGACUGGAAUUCUCGGUGUAGCAGUGAAAUGCGUAGAUAUCGAGAGGAACACCAGUGGCGAAAGCGGGUCUCUGGACGACACCUGACGCUGAGGCACGAAAGCCAGGGGAGC